rnacentral:rRNA from 1 species
UACGAAGGGGGCUAGCGUUGCUCGGAAUCACUGGGCGUAAAGCGUGCGCAGGCGGUAAGUUAAGUCUGAUGUGAAAGCCCCGGGCUCAACCUGGGAAUGGCAUUGGAAACUGGCUUGCUGGAGUGUGGCAGAGGGGGUGGAAUUCCGCGUGUAGCAGUGAAAUGCGUAGAGAUGCGGAGGAACACCGAUGGCGAAGGCAGCCCCUGGGCCAACACUGACGCUCAGGCACGAAAGCGUGGGGAGCAAACAGG